rnacentral:rRNA from 1 species
GACAGAGGGUGCAAACGUUGUUCGGAAUUACUGGGCGUAAAGCGAGUGUAGGCGGUGUGGUAAGUCGGAUGUGAAAGCCCCGGGCUCAACCCGGGAAGUGCACUCGAUACUGCCACGCUAGAGUAUCGGAGAGGUUGGUGGAAUUCUCGGUGUAGAGGUGAAAUUCGUAGAUAUCGAGAGGAACACCGGUGGCGAAGGCGGCCAACUGGACGAAUACUGACGCUGAGACUCGAAAGCGUGGGAGCAAACAGG